AUUGAACGCUGGCGGCAGGCCUAACACAUGCAAGUCGAGCGAGCGGCGGACGGGUGAGUAAUGUAUGGGGAAGGCCCGAGAGAGGGGGAUAACUACUGGAAACGGUGGCUAAUACCGCAUGCUAUAGGAAAACCCAUAUGGGAUAAGCUAGUAGUUGGGGUAAAGGCUCACCUAGGAGACGAUCCCUAGUUGGCCUGAGAGGAUGAUCAGCCACACUGCGACUGAGACACGGCCCAGACUCCUCCGGAGGCAGCAGUGGGGAAUAUUGCACAACUGGCGCAAGCCUGAUACAUCCAUGCCGCGUGUAUGAAGAAGGCCUUAGGUUUGUAAAGUACUUUCAGCGGGGAGGCGUUACCCGCAGACGAAGCACCGGCUAACUCCGUGCCAGCAGCCGCGGUAAUAC
rnacentral:rRNA from 1 species